GUCCCUCAUCGCAGGGAUGGCACAUAUAUACGUGGAUAAAGUUAACUUAAUGUUACGACGGAAUUCGACCUAGCAUGGCGAUGGCUGGGAGUCGGAGAAUUGAGAGACACACAAAUUUCACGGUACUUACACAGUUCAGGUUCUGGGCAGGAAUGAAGCGUCGCUUCGCCCUUUUUCAAAAGAAACUUACGCUUUCCCGCGUGAACUACAGAAUCCUUGUAAUUCAGGCGGGAAUCAUCGUUUAUUUCGACAUUACGGAUAUCACUAAAUCUAUUUUACUCUUGAAUGUGAAAUAUGACAGUUACGUUAUCAUUUAAGAUCAAGGAAUUGAAUUAAAGUUCUGGCUGAAGGCCGUAAUCUGCAAAUUCUUGAAUGGCUACGGAGUCCUUGGCUCCAAAUCUCUACAUAGAUAAUUUAUCUCGUACAAGUGAUUAGCAAAUUAGAUUUAUUAAUGAAAAUUCAUAACGUCUUCUUUACUAUAAGACGCGCUCCUUCCCCGCCAUGCAUUUAGGAAUUGCGUCUUAAACUGUAUUGUAUUGGACAGCUUUCUGUUCAAUGAAUCGCCCGCGAGAUCCCUCAGUCUUGCCCCAAUUUAACGCAACACUUGUGAAGUUAAAUGGCGGGGAUUUCGAAUGAUCAGUUCGAAAUUCACGACAAUUAUUAUAAGUUUUCAUGCUUUUAAAUGUAAAAUCAGUAUAGAGAUUCUGUGUAUGCUAUUUAUAUUUUUUAAAAUAUAUUCAAAGGUACGUAAUUCACAGUGUUUGUCACUAUAUAAGACCAUAAUCAACUUGUAAAACAUAGACACACAACAGAGUUGUCGUUCUGUGAAAAGUACUAUAUCUUAACCAAGGAGAAAAGUGCUGGUACAAUAUGUAUGUACUAUGCUACGUAAUUACAGCACAUACUGUGAAUGUACCAGAAGUGAUAGUUAGCCCACACACUAGUACAUGAUUUUAAAUUGAUUGAAUUUUACCUUCACCCUCUGCAAAUAUUACUUAUGUACAUACAUGUUUUCUUUAUUUAAUUGGAUUGUGUACCUUCGUUAUAACAGACUUAAGAAGUUUACCUAAUGAAGCAAAGAAAACUUUUACUCUAAGGGAAAAAGAAAAUGUCAUCCCAUGAAUUAUGGGUAACUUAGCAUACGUACGAAAAUGGAUACGUAUGUACGUAUUAGUUACUGUAACUAUUUUUACGCCAACCAGUUAUUGCGGUUUUAAGGGUAAUGUAUUAAAUUAACUGUUAAACCGGUAUUUCUACAGAAGCAGUCCGCACGGACUGCAAGGAACGUAACCGCGGAUAUGACAUCCACUAGGGAUUGGGGGCCGUCCAAUGUAUUGCGCCGUGUUUAGUACUGGCCCCGGGGGGUUAAUUACAUUCGUUCGAAUAAAUAUUACUUAAAGUUCUUGUUCAGUAGGUAAAACUGCAUAGAAAAACCGCAACUGCCAUAGUCUAGGCCGCCGCGGUUAAGUACCCUAGAUCUACCUUUAAACCAAAUUACAGUAACUUUAAUUUCAUUUAGGGAGCAUGAUUAGUCAUAUUUAAGUUCGGGGUAUUACUGUUUAGAUAAAAGGGACGACUGAUUUGAACCCCCAUGAAAAAGGUUGCAUGUGCAUUAAGCACUUCAUAUAUGACUAAGGAAAACAAGUGAAUUUCGUGAGUGAAUUAUUAGAAAAAAUCCAAGUUGAUAAAAAAGCAAAACCCGGUCUCUUUCACCUAAUAAUUCUCAAUAGCUUGGGGGUGUUAAAAAAAUUACGUAACGUCUUUGGGGAAAGGGGGUGAUGCUGAAGUGUUAUUAGUGUAAUGGGGAGGGAGUUGCAUAACGUUUUCAGAUUUUUUUCCUUUCUUUGACUGCCUUUGAAAGGAACUGGACAAAAAGGAGUAAAGACUGCAAUAGACUAUUUUUUCUUUAGUAAUAUUGAGAAUAUGAUAUUUUAUGUUUUUGCAUAAUUAUACGAUUAAAAAUUGUCAAACUCCAUCUUUGUCACCUAUCAACUAAACUAAAUAUAAAUAAUGAAUAGGUAACUCUGUAUCCCACACCGGAGUUUUCCCUUCAACAGGAAGGACAGGUGUGCCUCCCUCCCACCACUGUUGAUCUGGUGGGCGGGGGGGGGGGCGUGUCCUGUAGGUUGGCUAUACACAAGCUCCUCGCUGUUUCAAGGCACUUGAUGGCACACAAUAGCGCUCUCUGACGACGGGUUGCAACACGUACUGGGCAGAUUUUGCGUCUCCUCCUUCCUUUAUGCAGAAUUACCUGUGGUCAGUGAGACCACGGGUGCUGUGUAGAGUCCACACUUCUGACAACUUUUUAUACGGAGUUCUUGGAGUGACCCCGGCUCGGCCAACGCGGAAUCAGAGAAAUUUAUUUCUGGUGAUAGAAGUUCAUUUCUCGAUAUAGUGUGGUUCGGAUCCCACAAUAGCUGUAGGUCCCGUUGUUAGGUGACCAGUUGGUUCCUAGCCACGUAAAAAUAUCUAAUCCUUCGGGCCAGCCCUAGGAGAGCUGUUAAUCAGCUCAGUGGUCUGGUAAAACUAAGAUAUACUUAACUUUUUAACUUGGAGUGACGGGCAUCCACAGUCGUAUGGUAAGCUUCUGGAGAAAUUGCUUAGUGUGCCAGCUGGAAAAGCUGCAUUUCCCAGUUAGAGGGUGACAAACAGUGGAGCGAACUGUUGCUUUGGUAUAUCAAGUAGUAACGAAACCAUCAUCUGAUUGUACAAGUGGCAUUGGUGGAGGAAGGAAGCAGUCCUUUACAACGAAGGAAUAUGAGCUUCUUGGUGGUGACCAGCAAGAUGUGUCUUUGCAUUUAAUAACCUGAAUCAUAUACUGUACUGACUCUCUCUUAUAUGGUGCUGGCGCCACUGCUGACUCUUGUCAGUGAGAGGAGUCUGAUGAUCAGCAUGGUUGCCAAUUAAAUUACUUAGGAAAUUAAGAAACGGCAUAAUAGAACAUUUUCAAUGCAAAUUUAUUUGUGAUUCUAUAAUAUCAUUACAUAAAAGAAUUAAGAAAAACCUAAAUGUAAUCAUUUCCAGGUAUUAUGCUAUACUGAUACAUUAUUGGAUUAAAAAAAGGAAACUCUUUCCGGGGGACGGGGUUUCCUAGCUGAUCUUACAUAAUUUUCUAGGGGGUCAAGACGUGUUAUGAGGCGUGACAAGGGCGAAGAGGUGAAAAAUUACCAAAAUAAAGUGCUACAUAAUUUUUGAACAGCCCCCUGUAUUUUAUAACGGAACGUAAAUGGUCUGCAGACCAGGUACACCUCGGAGAAAUACAGUGAUUAUUAAAAGAAUAUGAACCAAUGAUAUUAUGUUUGCAACAUGUCAACGAAACAGUCUCAACAAUAGGUAAAUACAACUUAGCAUGUAAUCUGGAGAGCCGUAACAAAGUUUUUGACAGAGUAAGUAUAAACUUUACUGACUUGCAAAUAUCAGAUGUUAACAUACGAAUAAAAAAUUCUAAUUAUGUAAAUAUAUAAUUUAUACAACCAACUCAAUAAGAAUUAUGACACUGAUGAACUUAACCCUUAAACGCCGAAGCGGUAAAAAAAAAAUUGUCUCCCGUGUGCCGGAGGUGUUUCAGAGUGAGCGAGGAAGCGGAAAAAAUAUUUUAUUCAAAAAAUCACAGUGCGCUUAGUUUUCAAGAUUAAGAGUUCAUUUUUGGCUCCUUUUUUGUUAUUGGCUGAAGUUUAGUAUGCAACCAUCAGAAAUGAAAAAAAUUAUCAUUAUCAUAUAUAAAUAAUGCGAUAUAUGAUAGCGCAAAAACGAAAUUUCAUAUAUAAUUGUAUUCAAAUCGCGCUGUGCGCAAAACGGUUAAAGGUAACAAGUUACUUUUUUUUCGUUGUAAUGUACACUAAAUUGCAAUCAUUUUGGUAUAUAACACAUUGUAAAACGAUAAAAGCAACACAGAGAAAAUAUUAUCACAAAAUAAUGCAUGAAUUCGUAACGCGCGGACGUAAACAAAUAUUUUUUUUCAAAAAUUCACCAUAAAUCUAAAAUAUUGUUAUAAAGACUUCCAAUUUCUUUCAAAAUGAAGACAAAUGAUUGAAUAUUACUAUACUGUAAUAGUAUUAGCUUACAAUUGCAGUUUUCGACCAUAUCUGACGAGUUAAAGUUAACCGAAUGUCAAAUUUUUUAUAUAUAUUUUUUAUAUGCAAUUAUUUCGGAAAUAAGAAAAGCUACAACCUUCAAAUAUUUUUCGUUUUAUUCUACAUGAAAUUGCGCACAUUUUCAUAUAUAAAACUCAAUGAAAUGCCUAAUAUGAAACGGAGCAAAUAUUCCGAGAAUGGGACGUACGCAUUUCGGAGAUUUGUGGCGGAGAAUCCGCGCGCGGAGGGAAGGAAAGUUUUUUUUUUAAAUUCACCAUAAAUCUAAAUAUUGUGCUAGAGACUUCGAAUUUGUUUCAAGAUGAAGAUAAAUGACUGAAUAUUACUACACUGUAAGAGUUUUAGCUUACAAUUGCGUUUUUUGACCAUUUCGGUAGAGUCAAAGUUGACCGAACGUGGUUUUUUUUCUAUUGAUCAUGAUCUAUAUGCAAAUAUUUCAAAAAUGAGAAAAGCUACAACCUUCAAUUAUUUAUUGUUGUAUUCGACAUGAAAUUGCGCACAUUUUCAUAUAUAAAAAUUUAUGUAACGGCUAAUUUAAAAUGGUGCAAACAUUACCACAAUCGCACGUAUGAUUUUUUCGGAAGUUACUGUGCGGACGUAAAGAAAAUGUUAUUUUUUUUCAUAAAUUCACCAUAAAUCGAAAUAUUGUGCUAGACUUCCAAUUUUUUGAAAAAGUAAGGUAAAUGCUUGAAUAUUACUAGAAUAUAAGCGUUUUAGCUUAUAAUUGCGUUUUUCGACCAUUUCGGUAGAGUCAAAGUUGACCAAAGGUUGAAAAUUUGUCACUUAUCAUUUUUUAUAUGAAAAUAUUUCAAAAUUGAUAAAGGCUACAACCAUGGGUUGGUUGUAGUUGUAUUUUGCAUGAAAUUGCACACAUUUCCAUAUAUAAAAAUUUAUAUAACGGCUAAUUUUAAAAUGGUGCAAACAUUACCACAAUCGCAUGUAUGAUUUUUUUCGGAAGAGUUACCGCGCGGAUGUAAGGAAAAAGAUUUUUCAUAAAUUCACCAUAAAUCGAAAUAUUGUGCUAGAGACUUCCAAUUAGUUGCAAAAUUAAGGUAAAUGAUUGAAUAUUACUAAAAUAUAAGAGUUUUAGCUUACAAUUGCGUUUUUCGACCAUUUCGGUAGAGUCAAAGUUGACCAAAGGUUGAAAUUUUGGCACUUAUCGUUAUUUAUAUAAAAAUAUCUCAAAAAUGAUAAAAGCUACAAUCAUGAGUAUUUAUUGUUGUAUUCUACAUAAAAAUGCGCACAUUUUCAUAUAUAAUACUCCAUGUAAUGGCUAAUUUAAAAUGGUACAAAAAUUAUGUCAAAGUGACAAAAUAAUUUCCGAGAUACUUUUUAGUGCGGCAAGAAAGAAAUUCGCGCUUGCGCGCCUGCGUAACGAUUGUAAACAAAACAACACCUUGAUCCGUGAACUACCAGCAUCCCCCAAGGCGCAUGAUUCAAAAGUUUUCGGCUGGUAGGCCUAUAAGUAUUUUUCCGCGAAUUUUUAAAAAAACUUUUUUGAGUCGACGUAUGGUACGUCCAUUCGGCAUACGGGAGACAUUUUGACUCUACGUUUAAUACGUCCAUUCGGCGUUUAAAGUAAAAAGAGUUACUUAACCCAGGAUAGGUGUGAAUGGUCAUGUGCGGCCCUGAGCGUAUGUCGGAAAACGUUUUUUUCCCAUAAAUCGUCAUCUGUCACGAAUGCAUGCGUGAUUAACUUGCAAGAAUCCACUAGUCUACACUCCACGGUCAUGUUAGGACAUACACUCGCCUUCCUUUUGUGCUACCCACUUUUCUGAGAGUUCCCAGGGUCAAGUUCAACCCUACGAUACCUAAAUUGGGUAAGUGAUCAAAAAGAAAAGUUAUUACGUAAUAAUUUCCUGUUGAACAGUGUUGAUACCUGUAUAGUUUUAUAUUGUUGAAAAGUGUGGGUGGAUGGUGUGUCUACCACAUGCAUGACAUUGGUUUUGGCUGAGAUGCUGUAUAUUGCCAUAUGGUUCAUUUUCCUUCGAAUGCCAAUUUCUGAUUUUUUGCAGUUUUCAUCAACAAUAGCCAGCAGGCAGCAUUUCCUCGGCAUGGAUGCCAUUAACUCACUUCUAAAUGAUGAGGAGGAGGAGCACGACGUGAGAGAGUUGGAGGAAGAUGUGAGGGAAGAAGAGGAGGCAGUAGAUGACCCUGAAAUCGUCCCCCUGGAGGAGAGGAGUAGGAAGAGGAGGUGUGACCUCCAGCCAGCCAGGGGGACUCCAACUCAGCAUAUAGGUUUUGAUACUGUCCAAGGCCGUGAUGGUACUCGCCGGCACAACGACCCAAACCCUGCUCUCCCCUACAUGUUUACACCGAGGACUGAGCCACGUUGGGGCGAAAAAAUUCUCCAACAUUUUCUUGCUCUUUUUGGAUGACUCUAUGCUCACUGAGAUUGUUUUGCAUUCCAAUGAUCGUCUUGCUCUUCUGAGGGAUAAUUACCACCAGAAGGGCAAUGUUGCCCUCAAGGACCUUGACUUGAGGGAACUGAAGGUGUUCAUUGGGAUUCUGAUAAUGUCGGCAGUGAGGGCAGACAACCAUACGACAACAUGACAUGUGGGACCUCACAAAGGGCAAUCAUUUGUAUUGGUGUUCCAAGCAAGCGUUGAUUUGCCCUGUUGGUGAGGGUUCUUUGCUUUGAUGAUUCAGCCACCAGAUGAGAGAGGCAAAGGAAGAUCACCUUGCCCUCAUAAGGAAAGUGUUUGAUCAUGUGGUGGCAAAUUGUUGGAGGAUCUACUCCACAGGGCCCCAUCUCACUGUGGACAUGCAGCUGGUUCCUUUCUGUGGUUGCUGUCCCUUCAAGAUGUACAUUCCUAACAAGCCUGCUAAGUACGGCAUCAAGCUUGUGUUGGAGUGUGAUGUCGAUACGCAUUACACGUAUAAUGAUGCUAUAGCGUACUUGGGGAAGGACAAAAUCAGGGUGUUGAGAGGAAGGACAAGUUCUUCAUGACGCUCCCGCUCGCCUUGACACUCGCGGACGAAGGCAUGCUUUUGUGUGGCACCAUUCAACCGAAACCUUAUAUUCCUAAGGAACUUUCUGAGAAAUCACUUCCCAUCAAGGACUCAGUGGCCGUGUUCAAUUACGAACUUAAUUUAACUCUUCAGUGUCAGCAAGUUAACAGGACUAAGGAUGUGAUGCUGUUGAGUUCCCUGCAUCAUGAUUCGUCUGAGAUCGAAAAGAAGAAGACGGAUAUUCAGAUGUUUUAUAAUGCCACAAAAGGGGGUGUAGAUACAUUCGAACAGAUGUGUGCUACAUCAAAUUGUGUUCAUAAAACGACAGUGGCCACUGUGUCUUUUCUACGGGAUAUUGAAUAUAAUUAUGGUAAAUUCUUAUAUUCUAUAUUCGUGCACGCCCUUCUCCAAUACGAUACCAAGGCAAACGUUCCUCAAGGAGAUCGUCGUUGACUUGUGUGCUCCCCUUGUCAGACAUUGGUUUUACACAUCAACCAAGUUGUCGAAGGGGCUCCGUCAGUUAAUGGCCGACACUUCAAGCUGGUUGAGCUUGACCCAAGACCUCCGCUUCCCUGUGGCCACAUCAAACUUCCUAAAGGGAUUCGCUGCCAGAACUGCCCACCUAAGGACAACCACAAGAUGAACUCUGCAUGUUUGAAAUGCAAGAAGCCUGUUUGCUUGCAGCAUCAAACUGUCUUGUGUCCGAAUUGUUUCUGAUGGUUAUAGGUGGCAGAUUUGGCCGUUGGAGUUGGUGUGAUCUGGGCCUAUUUUGUUGACAUACCCGAAAGAUUAUGAUCUCUAUGGGUCUGACCCACUUUCUAGCAGUCACAUAAUGUUAAGUAUAGUUUUAGGAAGGAUUCUUAAAAUUUUUUAUGUAUAUAAGCAUUUUAGUAUUUUUUUAAAUAUUUUUUUAAAAGUGUUUUUGUACACUAUUUUUAAUAAAUAGUUAAACUGUA